rnacentral:sRNA from 1 species
GCGAGAUGGAGAGAACUCAGUAACUAAGUCCUACUAAUACAUACGUAUUAUAUAACCUCUCGACAGCCUUGGCUUACACGGCCUAUCUCAGGCGCAUCAAACAUUUGCCAAACCCUCUGCAGUGCAUUGGCACAUCUCCUAUCAUAAUGGUCUAGCGGGGCUGCAACCAAAUAGAUCAAAUACGCCACUUGAUAUCGCAUCAUACAGAUGGACAAAAGACAGGCCUUAUUCAUCCUGAUUGACAUUGAUAAUUACUGCAAUUCCUGGUGUACCAUGAUGAAACCAUAUCUAGCUAAAUAUCAUGAUAUGAUAGUUCUGAGGAAUUUGUUAGGACACAGUUCCUGCAACAAUUGUUACUAAGCAACGCUAUCCGUAAUCUGUGUCUAUGGACAUGAUAGGAACAUUAGCGGGUCCUAUUGAUGAAAUCUUCUCUUCUGACAUCGAAUGCUGUUGAUUCACACAUUAUUGAUGCCUGCAUUACGGUGCUUUGAUGAGCUGCUCUCACAGUGCUCUAAGAAGAUCGUUACCGCUUUGGCAGUUUCGGAGAGUGGUGCUAUACGCACGGCAGGUCGAACGAACUCGAACGUGUUCCGAAGGACUACCCGUACGUAAGGGAAUGGGCGAAUCACCGGUAUAACACAAGAAAAUCCUACUCACUCAGAUGGGCUUUACCAAUGGAAGAUGUGGCGAUAGUGACGAUUCCAGGUGUACACCUAAAAAGAAUUUGAGGGCACUGUAGGACCAGGGAGAUUGCAGUUAACCUACCCGUCGUCCUGUCGGCAAAUAGCGUCCACAUACUUAAUGAAGCUCGCCCGGCCUCCUUCGGUCAGGGCGAUCUUGGCAAGAUUCACUCCAUGAUGGGUGGUAGCAACUGGCGGGUAGGAGUUUAUGAUUGCCUCGCAUGUCUGUUUAUAGAAAUUGGGAUAGCUAACUAGUUUUGUGAUCGCAAAGCUGCAAAUGUCACCCUCUCCAAUC